AACGCACAUUGCGCCCCUUGGUAUUCCAUGGGGCAUGCCUGUUCGAGCGUCAUUUGUACCUUCAAGCUCUGCUUGGUGUUGGGUGUUUGUCUCGCCUUUGCGUGUAGACUCGCCUUAAAACAAUUGGCAGCCGGCGUAUUGAUUUCGGAGCGCAGUACAUCUCGCGCUUUGCACUCAUAACGACGACGUCCAAAAAGUACUUUUUACACUCUUGACCUCGGAUCAGGUAGGGAUACCCGCUGAACUUAA
rnacentral:misc_RNA from 2 species